rnacentral:lncRNA from 10 species
CACUUAUUAAACUUUCACUCCAACCUCACCCUUGGUGUCCAUGCUCCUUAAUUUUCUUGGUAAUGAGACAAAGAACUCUGGAUAACACCUCAGACAAAGAGACUGCUACACUGACCCUAGACUGCUUCACCUGUAGGGGGUCAUCUGGGAUAUGUCAGAAGGGACACAACUGGAGAAACUAGUUGUUUUACCAAGGCUUUGACUGGAACAGUAUGCUUCCCUUUAAAAAAUCAAGCUGGAGUUGCAGAGCCAAUAAAUGCCCCUUGGGAAAACUGGCUUCAUAUCUUGUCUACACAGUCCCUGUACAGGAUUCCUAAACUGUGACAGAGUCUCCCUCUGUCGCCCAGACUGUAGUGCAAUGGCAGGAUCUUGGCUUACUGCAAUCUCCACCUCCCCGGUUCAACCAAUUCUCCUGCCUCAGCCUCCCAAGUAGCUGGGAUUACAGCAAGAGACGAGAGUGCAAGCAGAAUGCUGCUUCAGGGAGAAAAGCUGUUACCAGGAGCCAAGCUUGUACUCUGUGUCCAAGACAGCCCUCGUUUGGC